AAAGUCGUAACAAGGUUUCCGUAGGUGAACCUGCGGAAGGAUCAUUAACAAGUGCCCCAGCCUGAGUUGGGGGACUAACACCUAUUGCCCGCAAGGGCAAUAAUGUGUCCACCCUUUGUGAAACUUCAAUUUUUGCUUCGGCAGCACUCUAAGUGGUGUAAAAACCGCUUGAGGGGUAAGGCUGCCAGAAGCCCAUAUCAAACUAGUUGAUGAAAUGUCAUGCUGUCUGAUAACCACUAUUUGAGAAAUCAAAUUACAUUAAAACUUUCAGCAACGGAUCUCUUGGUUCCC
rnacentral:misc_RNA from 1 species